GACGAACGCUGGCGGCGUGCUUAACACAUGCAAGUCGAACGGAAAGGCCCUGCUUUUGUGGGGUGCUCGAGGGGCGAACGGGUGAGUAACAGGUGAGUAACCUGCCCUUGACUUUGGGAUAACUUCAGGAAACUGGGGCUAAUACCGUAUAGGAUCUCCUGUUGCAGGGUGGGGGUGGGAAAGUCUGGGCGGUUGGGGAUGGACGCGCGGCUGUUGAGCUUGUUGGUGGGGGAGUGGCUUACCCAGGCUGUGGCGGGUAGGCGGCCUGGGAGGGUGACCGGCGACAUUGGGACUGAGGUACGGCCCAGACUCCAACGGGAGGCAGCGGUGGGAAAUAUUGCCCAAUGGGCCGAAGCCUGAUGCAGAAACGCCGCGUGCGGGAUGACGGCCUUCGGGUUGUAAACCGCUUUCGCCUGUGACGAAGCGUGAGUGACGGUAAUGGGUAAAGAAGCACCGGCUAACUACGUG
rnacentral:rRNA from 1 species